AAAAGUUUACUUUAAUCCAACAUCGAGGUCGCAACCCUUUAUAUCGAUAAGAACUCUCCAAAAAGAUUACGCUGUUAUCCCUAAGGUAAUUUAAUCUUUUAAUCAUUAAUAAUGGAUCAAUUAAUCAUAAAUAAAUGUUUUUAAUCUAAAAGUUAAUUAAAUUUUUUAAUCACCCCAACCAAAUAAUAUUUAAAAAUCAUAAAAAUUAAAUUCUUAAAAAUCUAAAAUAUAAAAAUUAUUAAACUCUAUAGGGUCUUCUCGUCCCAUAAUAAAAUUUGAACUUUUUAAUUCAAAUAUAAAAUUCAUAAUACUUAAUUAAAGACAGUUAUUUUCUCAUCUAACCAUUCAUACAAGCUUCUAAUUAAGAAACUAAUGAUUACGCUACCUUUGUACAGUCAAAAUACUGCAGCCAUUAAAUUAUUCAUUGGGCAGGUCAAACUUUUAAUCAUAAUCAAAAAGCC
rnacentral:rRNA from 1 species